rnacentral:tRNA from 1 species
UGCACCAAUAGAAUAUAAAGUUCAUGGCUCUGAAGAAGCCGGGGAGGUUGAGAGUAGCCUUGGUGCAU